UCUGCGCUGUCUUAUAUAUACUUUGGGGAAUCUCAUUCGGAUGAAGUAAUUGAAGCCGUAAAUCCCUGGAAGGAAACAUAUAGCCAUAUACGUUGUUCCUGUCACCGCUUUCUUGUCUCCCAUACUCUGCGGCUGCGGCUCCUCCUCCCCCUCCCUCAACCAAAGGCGCAGCCGCUGUUCGCAGAGGAACGGGUGUAAAGAAAUCCAAUAUUCUUCUGUUCGCAUCGCACAGGAACGGAAACCAAUAUUCUUUCGGAGACAAAACUACUCUACCCAACAAUGGAGGUGGUGUCAAGGGCUUCAAUUGCAUUGGUGGCUGUCAUCUGCCUCGUCUUAGCCACUGCUUUCCCCACCGCCGCUGCCAUGGCUAAUGCCCCUGCUCCUGCUCCCACCAGCAGCGACGGUACAGCGAUAGAUCAGGGGAUAGCCUACUUUCUGAUGCUGCUGGCAUUAGCGUUGACAUACAUCAUUCACUAAAUAAUCUUUGACGUGCUUCUUCAUCAAUUAUCAUCUUUAUCACGGCCUUCAUUCAAAAUCACUUGUACAAAAUCUGAAGGAAGAGGGAAAGCAAAUGGAAGAAGCAAACAUCCAGUUUUCAACCAAAUUCAACAUUGAUUUUUUAUGGCACAUUAGACAGAAGAGGCAACAUUCAUUCAAAAAUUUGGACUCGGUUGAUGAUUUUUAUUUUAUUUUGUUUAUCCUUUAUCAUUUUCCAGAGUAGCCGGAUUUUUUUUUUAUCGGGUUUUUGGUCUGUAUAGUUUCUUCGUAGUCUUCUUUCCUUUUUUUAUUUGAUUUCUGGGAUUUUUUUUUUCUAAUUUUUAUCGGGUCUUUCAAUUUUUUGUUUAAUUAGAAGAGUAUAUUUACUCUUUUUUUUUUCCUCUUUUGUUAGGGAUCAGCAGUAGUACGGACUUUUAUUUAUUUAUUAUUAUUUUUCCAUUU